GUGCUUGUAGCUCAGCUGGAAGAGCAGGAGCCUUCUAAGCUUCUGGUCGGGGGUUCGAGUCCCUCCAGGCAUACCA
rnacentral:tRNA from 1 species